CACGUAGUUAGCCGUGGCUUUCUGAUUAGGUACCGUCAAGAUGUGCACAGUUACUUACACAUUUGUUCUUCCCUAGUAACAGAGUUUUACGAGCCGAAACCCUUCAUCACUCACGCGGCGUUGCUCCGUCAGGCUUUCGCCCAUUGCGGAAGAUUCCCUACUGCUGCCUCCCGUAGGAGUCUGGACCGUGUCUCAGUUCCAGUGUGGCCGAUCACCCUCUCAGGUCGGCUACGUAUCGUCGCCUUGGUAAGCCGUUACCUUACCAACUAGCUAAUACGGCGCGGGUCCAUCUAUAAGUGAUAGCAAAACCAUCUUUCACUUUAGAACCAUGCGGUUCUAAAUGUUAUCCGGUAUUAGCUCCGGUUUCCCGAAGUUAUCCCAGUCUUAUAGGUAGGUUACCCACGUGUUACUCACCCGUCCGCCGCUAACUUCAAAGGAGCAAGCUCCUUAUCUGUUCGCUCGACUUGCAUGUAUUAGGCACGCCGCCAGCGUUCAUCCUGAGCCAGGAUCAAACUCU
rnacentral:rRNA from 1 species